AGCGGAUCGAGAUAUGAAGUAAAACUCGUUUGUGGAGUAAUUGAGCGACGCCCGAGUGGAGCAAAACAAUCAGCGAUAAAGGCAAGGUCGCGCGUGUUAAUCGUCAACCGUCGCUCUCCGACAACAAACGUCGCGGCGGAAAGCUGAUUAAAUCGUAUUUACGCGAGUGUCAGUGCCACAUAUUGAAUAUCUGGGGCGCUACGACGCAGUAGCUGGAAACCAGGAUGCAGGAAGCAGAACACCGCGACAGGAAUACAUCAUGUACUUGCAGUAUGAUGCGUCAAUUGCUUAUUAUGCAGGAUCUAUUGAAAUUAAGAUGUUUGACGAUCAAGGAUAGCUAGGUCAGGGUUCCCGAGGACAGGAUCGACAGAAAUUAUUAUCAACGGGACAAGUAUUAAACGUUUCGUGGUGCCGAUGUCGUCAGCAACGAGUCGAACGACGACGUGACGACCAAGAACGCGCGGAGUGAACGGGCGAAGAAAAAUGCGGUUAUCAUGGCUGCAGAGGGGUAAUAAUCUUCCACGGUAUCAUCGCCGCCUAUAUGUGUAUCCACGGGUAACGUAUGUCAUGUACAAGAGGAGUCAGAUUCCGCACGAAGGAAAGAUUUAUUAACGAGAACUACAACGCGGGACGCUGAUAAAUUAUCGAUAAAAAAGGAACUACGCGUGACUCGGAUGUCUUCGUGACAACCCUUUCAUUCUUCCUGAUCCACCGUUAUUAUGGGUUCUCCACUUCAGAAUAAACACGCGACUUUGCGGUGAAACGCGUAUUAACACGGUCAACAUGGUCAAUAAUAACAUGGUUAAUAGCAUUAUCGACAGCGUACCGUGCGAUUAAUUUGUAUCUAUUUUUCAUUGUUUCUGGUGUUUCUAUCGCAGCUUAAUGUUAAAUUGUUCACUAUUCAAUGUUUGUACGUAGAUUUGCCCGUGAAAUUUAUUUUUGGACGUUUUAUUUUGUCAGUUUUAGAUAGCAAUUUUGACAAGGCAUUUAAAAAAAAAGUAAACAGAAAUAUAUAUAUAUAUAUAUAUAAAUAUAUAUAUAAAUAUAUAUAUAUAUAUAUAUAUAUAUAUAAAUACUAAACAUUCAGCCAUGUGGCAUGCCAUUCCCAUGAACCGUAUCACAACGUAAUAUGUGCAACACAGAGCAUGUGGAACAUUUAAAGAUUUUGCGCAACAUAGUUUGAAAAUUUAUUUAAAUAAAAUUUUAUUUUUGAAAAAAAACCGGACAGAGUUGUAUUUUUAUUCUGAAUUUUAUACGAUCAAAUACAUAGUUUCUCUUGAAAAUUAUGAAAUAUUUCGCAAUAUAUUUGUCGCGAACAGGACAUAAAUGGAAAAAUGAAAAAAAAUAGGGUAGUCCAUUGAAAUUUAUUUUCUUUUCGCAGUCUAUAUUAUAUUAUACCGUUCACUUGGAAAAAAUGUCAAUCAGCCAACCUUUGCAAAGACUCGCGCAAGUAGGUAGAUAUAAAAAAAAGAACAAUAUUUUUCGUAUAGAGAACGAUUUUCUCUAUCCUUUUCUUAUAAAUCUUUAAUUAAAUACAUUUAACUAAUUACAUAAUUCCUUUUUUACACCUCAAUCAAUUUAUUCCCGAUGUAAAACACGUCUCAUUAAAUCGAGUAAAUACGCUUCCGUUGUUUUAUCGGUGCGUAUAAAAAUUACUUAGUAAAAAUCUGUUGACGUUUGACCACUCGUCGAAAAAAACCAACGUAGCCUUGACAUUUU